UAGGGAAUCUUCCACAAUGGACGCAAGUCUGAUGGAGCAACGCCGCGUGAGUGAAGAAGGUCUUCGGAUCGUAAAGCUCUGUUGUUGGUGAAGAAGGAUAGAGGCAGUAACUGGUCUUUAUUUGACGGUAAUCAACCAGAAAGUCACGGCUAACUACGUGCCAGCAGCCGCGGUAAUACGUAGGUGGCAAGCGUUGUCCGGAUUUAUUGGGCGUAAAGCGAGCGCAGGCGGAAUGAUAAGUCUGAUGUGAAAGCCCACGGCUCAACCGUGGAACUGCAUCGGAAACUGUCAUUCUUGAGUGCAGAAGAGGAGAGUGGAACUCCAUGUGUAGCGGUGGAAUGCGUAGAUAUAUGGAAGAACACCAGUGGCGAAGGCGGCUCUCUGGUCUGCAACUGACGCUGAGGCUCGAAAAGCAUGGGUAGCGAACAGGAUUAGAUACCCUGGUAGUCCAUGCCGUAAACGAUGAGCGCUAGGUGUUGGGGACUUUCCGGUCCUCAGUGCCGCAGCAAACGCAUUAAGCGCUCCGCCUGGGGAGUACGACCGCAAGGUUGAAACG
rnacentral:rRNA from 1 species